GCCUGCCCACUGAAAUUUUUAAAGGGCUGCAGUAUUUUGACUGUACAAAGGUAGCAUAAUUAUUAGUCUUUUAAUUAAAGACCGGUAUGAAAGGCUUAACGAAAAUAAACUAUCUUUAUGGCAUGAAUUGAAUUUUCUAUUUUUGUGAAAAAUCAAAAAUGAGGAAAAGGGACAAGAAGACCCUUUUAAACUUUAAUAAAAAUAUUAUUGGAUUUUAAGAAAUAAUUUUAAAUAAAAUUUUUAUUUUUACUGGGGCGGUUAAAUAUAAUAAACAAUAUUAAUUUUAUAUAAAAAUAUGAAGAAACGCGUGAUCCGACAAGAUUGAUUAUUAGAAAAAGUUACUGAAGGGAUAACAGCAUAAUAGCCUUUAAUAGGUCUUAUUGACAAGGAUGUUUGUGACCUCGAUGUUGGAUUAAGGGACCUAUUUAAUGUAAAAGUUAAUUGAGGAGGUCUGUUCGACCUUUAAAUUCUUACAUGAUCUGAGUUCAAACCGGAGA
rnacentral:rRNA from 1 species